CGAGUCGGCCAGGCGGCCGCGUAGCCUUUGGCUCCGAGGAACGUCCGGGCUCCACAGGGAACGGUGGUGGGUAACGCCCACCCGGGGUGACCCGCGGGAAAGCGCCACAGAGAACAGACCGCCGCGCGAGCGGUAAGGGUGAAACGGCGGUGUAAGAGACCACCGCGCCCCAGGCGACUGGGGUGGCACGGCAAGCCCCACCGGGAGCAAGACCAGACAGCGUGCGCAGGCGUCCCGUCUAGCACGCGGGUGGGUCGCUCGAGCCUCGCGGCAACGCGGGGCCUAGAUGGAUGGUCGCCACCGCUCGCGAUGCGGGCGGGACAGAACCCGGCGUAUCGGCCGGCUCGUUCG
rnacentral:RNase_P_RNA from 1 species